CCUACGGGAGGCAGCAGUGGGGAAUAUUGCGCAAUGGGCGAAAGCCUGACGCAGCGACGCCGCGUGAGGGAUGAAGGUCUUCGGAUCGUAAACCUCUGUCAGCAGGGAAGAACGGUCACUGUGCUAAUCAGCAGUGAAUUGACGGUACCUAACGAAUAAGCACCGGCUAACUCCGUGCCAGCAGCCGCGGUAAUACGGAGGGUGCAAGCGUUACUCGGAAUCACUGGGCGUAAAGAGCGCGUAGGCGGCAGUGCAAGUCUGGAGUGAAAGGCGGGGGCGCAACCCCCGGACUGCUCUGGAAACUGUACGGCUGGAGUGCAGGAGAGGUAAGUGGAAUUCCUAGUGUAGCGGUGAAAUGCGUAGAUAUUAGGAGGAACACCAGUGGCGAAGGCGGCUUACUGGACUGUAACUGACGUUGAGGCUCGAAAGCGUGGGGAGCAAACAGGAUUAGAUACCCGAGUAGUC
rnacentral:rRNA from 1 species